AUCGUUGUCGAUUCGGAGAGCACCGACCGGACGAGAGAGAUCGCCGAACACUGGGGCGCCCGUGUCAUUGUGCACAAGUGGGAAGGCUACUCGCGGCAAAAGAACUUUGCCGCUGAACAGGCGCGUCACGAAUGGAUUCUCA
rnacentral:misc_RNA from 1 species